CAUGGAGUCUGGUGGAAAUAUGCUGGCUCUAUACACGCUAAAAGUACUGAUUAUUUACAUGGAGUCUGGUGGAAAUAUGCUGGCUCUAUACACGCUAAAAGUCCUGAUUAUUUACAUGGUGCCCGGUGGAAAUAUGCCGGCUAUAUACACGCUAAAAGUCCUGAUUAUUUACAUGGAGUAUGGUGGGAAUAUGCCUGGCUCU